rnacentral:rRNA from 1 species
AACGAACGCUGGCGGCAGGCUUAACACAUGCAAGUCGAACGCAUCCUUCGGGGUGAGUGGCAGACGGGUGAGUAACGCGUGGGAACGUGCCCUUCAGUUCGGGAUAACCCAGGGAAACUUGGGCUAAUACCGGAUACGUGCGAGAGCAGGAAGAUUUAUCGCUGAAGGAUCGGCCCGCGUCUGAUUAGCUAGUUGGUGGGGUAAUGGCCACCAAGGCGACGAUCAGUAGCUGGUCUGAGAGGAUGAUCAGCCACAUUGGGACUGAGACACGGCCCAAACUCCUACGGGAGGCAGCAGUGGGGAAUAUUGGACAAUGGGCGCAAGCCUGAUCCAGCCAUGCCGCGUGAGUGAUGAAGGCCUUAGGGUUGUAAAGCUCUUUCGUCCGGGACGAUAAUGACGGUACCGGAAGAAGAAGCCCCGGCUAACUUCGUGCCAGCCGCCGCGGUAA